rnacentral:rRNA from 1 species
GAUGAACGCUGGCGGCGUGCCUAAUACAUGCAAGUCGAGCGAACAGAUGAGGAGCUUGCUCCUCUGACGUUAGCGGCGGACGGGUGAGUAACACGUGGAUAACCUACCUAUAAGACUGGGAUAACUACGGGAAACCGGAGCUAAUACCGGAUAAUAUAUUAAACCGCAUGGUUCAAUAGUGAAAGACGGUUUUGCUGUCACUUAUAGAUGGAUCCGCGCCGCAUUAGCUAGUUGGUAAGGUAACGGCUUACCAAGGCAACGAUGCGUAGCCGACCUGAGAGGGUGAUCGGCCACACUGGAACUGAGACACGGUCCAGACUCCUACGGGAGGCAGCAGUAGGGAAUCUUCCGCAAUGGGCGAAAGCCUGACGGAGCAACGCCGCGUGAGUGAUGAAGGUCUUCGGAUCGUAAAACUCUGUUAUUAGGGAAGAACAAAUGUGUAAGUAACUAUGCACGUCUUGACGGUACCUAAUCAGAAAGCCACGGCUAACUACGUG